AUUGAACGCUGGCGGCAUGCCUUACACAUGCAAGUCGAACGGUAACAGGUUAAGCUGACGAGUGGCGAACGGGUGAGUAAUGUAUCGGAACGUGCCCAGUCGUGGGGGAUAACUGCUCGAAAGAGCAGCUAAUACCGCAUACGACCUGAGGGUGAAAGCGGGGGAUCGCAAGACAUCGCGCGAUUGGAGCGGCCGAUAUCAGAUUAGGUAGUUGGUGAGGUAAAGGCUCACCAAGCCGACGAUCUGUAGCUGGUCUGAGAGGACGACCAGCCACACUGGGACUGAGACACGGCCCAGACUCCUACGGGAGGCAGCAGUGGGGAAUUUUGGACAAUGGGCGCAAGCCUGAUCCAGCCAUGCCGCGUGCGGGAAGAAGGCCUUCGGGUUGUAAACCGCUUUUGUCAGGGAAGAAAAGGUUCUGGCUAAUACCUGGGACUCAUGACGGUACCUGAAGAAUAAGCACCGGCUAACUACGUG
rnacentral:rRNA from 1 species